AGCUUCAGCACCACCCAUAUUCUAAAACUAGAACAAUACAGAGAAGAUUAAUAUGGCCCCUGUGCAAGAGUGGCAUGCAAAUUCAAGUAGUGUUCUAUACUUUU